AAACCCCUCAACUCUCCUUUUCGGGUGUGUUGGAUUUGAGCAUGUCCACCAAAAGCCAGAUUUGGUUUUUGGAGGAUGCUUGAAAUUUGAGGUUCGGCCGGCAGUGCCUGGGCUACAAGCAUUUCAUACUUAAUCCCGUCAAACGGAUUAUAUUCUUUGCUGCAGCCAACAUACAGGGUAACUGUCAGUGUCCGACUGAUGCAGGAUAAGUUGAGACUCGCUCUCUUCUAA
rnacentral:misc_RNA from 1 species